UACGUAGGGUCCGAGCGUUGUCCGGAAUUAUUGGGCGUAAAGAGCUUGUAGGCGGUUUGUCGCGUCUGCCGUGAAAGUCCGGGGCUCAACUCCGGAUCUGCGGUGGGUACGGGGCAGACUAGAGUGAUGUAGGGGGAGACUGGAAUUCCUGGUGUAGCGGUGAAAUGCGCAGAUAUCAGGAGGAACACCGAUGGCGAAGGCAGGUCUCUGGGCAUUAACUGACGCUGGAGGAGCGAAAGCAUGGGGAGCGAACAGG
rnacentral:rRNA from 1 species